UACACACCGCCCGUCAAGCCACCCAAGCACGAAGUGCCUAAAGUGCAUUGUCCAACCGCAAGGAGGGCGUGCCCAGGGUAAAGCGUGUGAGGAGGGCU
rnacentral:rRNA from 1 species